GUGUUGGAUUGUCAGACCGUAAUGUUGCAGCUCAAAGCAGCUUUUCUAUCUCAGUUCAUUCUGACAUUCAGCUAUGAAUCAACACAGCAGAUGGUGAUCCAUGCUGUGGAAGUCUCACAUCUCCUGAUUUAAUGGAGCUGCUUUGCACUUUUUACACUGUUUAUUCACCAACACUUUAUUUAAUAAAAGUCCAUCUAGUUUUUAUGAGGAAUGUGAUGUUUUAAUUUCUCUGUGAAUAACUGCAGUCUAAUGCAACAGCUGGAGUUGUAACAUCUGUCCUGAUAUUGAUCAUGAAGUAUUGAUCAGAAUACUUAUGGUCAGCAGUCAUCCCUGAAGUUUUACAUUAAAAUCUUUACUUGUGUUGUGAACUUUGGUAAGAAGCAGAAACUUUAGCGUUGCCAUGGAUACAUGAGUGUUAAAUUCUGUCCAUGUUUCCAUUUUGGGAAAUUCAGUCCAGCAGAUGAGUUUGUUUUUACUGCCAGCAACCAUUCAGUCUGAGAUAUUAAGAAUAAAUAAAUGUGCAUAAUGUGGAAAUGAACAGAUUCUAUUUUUAUUUAUACCUACAGCUGCUGGUAAAGUUCCAGAAUGUGGAGGAAUUUAGUCUCACAAUCACAGACAAUAAAUAUUAUCUGAAAGUCAGGUUAUUGUUGUUUAUCAGCACAAUACAAAAAGAUUAAUGUUAGAAAUAUUCCAGUUAAGACUCUAGAAUAUCAGGAUUUAUGUAAAUUUACCUCAAUAAUAUGAAUGUUCAGGUUAAGAUUGUACAGUGAUAUUUAUUAUGUAAGUUUAGCUGAUUAAAGUUUAUGACUCUGCACUAAAAUAUUAUGUAUUUAAAUUGACAUCAUUAUUAUAAUAUUUAGGGUCAGACCCUACAGUAUUGAGAUUAAGAAAUCAAAUAUUCUAUAAAAUAUAAAUACACUGAACUCAUUUGGAUAUAUUUAAGUGAGACUCUACAAUAUUAUUUGACACAAAUCUAUCUAAAUCAAAACUUUAAUCAUUUUUACUCCAAACAUUUACUGGACUGAUUUAAACAUUAAAAUCACUCCUUUCUAAUCCUCUGCUGUACGUUCAAACCUGAGGCCUUAAAUAGAAACACACAAGUAUCUGAUUGAAGGAACUUCUGCAGAGUCCUGGUUCCAGAACAUGAUGAUAGAAUUAUAGACAAACUUUAACAAAAGCUGCCUGAGAGUUUACAGGUUUUUAUGUUAGAUUUCUUCAGUAAUUUAAUGAGAGUUAUCAGCAAAAAUCAAGUGUUCAUUUGAUGAACUUAGUUUCCUAAAACAUCCAGAAUUGGAGCUCAUAUCUUUGGCAGCUGUCAAGUUUCUGCUCCUUCAAAGUUCACAACACAAUGAAUGAAUUCCUAAAACACUCUCAAUGCUGGAGAGCGUUUGUGAUGCUGAAGCAGUGAUCAGUUUUUCUGAUUCUUCUCUGGAGAUGCACAAUGAGGGACGUCUGCAGCGACUGAGAAAGAGUCUCACCACAUCCUGACAUGAGGAAAAAGA
ensembl:lncRNA